UUUUCCGACAGUUAUUAAUAAAAUAAGAGAACAAUGUAGGGAUAACUUGAGUUCUAAUACUGGUUCUCACUUUUUAUGUCACAAACAUAAAUCACAUUCACUUUCUUU
rnacentral:ribozyme from 13 species